rnacentral:tRNA from 1 species
GCCCUCGUAGUUCAAUGGAUUAGAACAGUCCCGUCCUAAGGGAUCGAUAGAGGUCCGAUUCCUCUCGAGGGCA